UGAUCUAUGUUAUAUUUACCUAAGAACGUGCUUUCCUCUUAACUCCUUUUUUUAUUUUUUUAUUUUUUUAUACCGUGUUCAGUGACACUACUGACGAGUAGUCGUCGUCAUGCUCCUCGACUCGAUGUUUCUCCACACACAAGUUACUUAUUAAGCUUUUAAAAUGAAAUGUGAGCCUCCAGCUGGACCACAACUAAAGCUUUGUGUCUAUUGUGUGCAUAGUUUAUUGAGGCGAUGACAUCUGGUGUGUAAUGAUGAUUCCUUUAGACUAGAGUCUCUGAUUUAAAACUGAAGUUUUUCACAGUGCACUGAACACACCUUUGAACCCAUCUGCAGACAUUUUCCUAAAAUGUCAAACUCUAGUGACUGGCUAAAUAUUUUAUUUAUUUUUUUUUAAACAUGUUGAACAGACUUGCAUGAAGAAUGGCUUGACUGGACCCCUGGUACUUUAUUUAAUGACUUUCAUGGAGACUGGCUGAACUGGACCUAGGUACCCAGCUGUACUGACGUGUGGACCAAGCUGUUGUGAUGUCAUUGCUACAUGAAAUUGAAUCCUGUUGCCAAGACUGAAGAAGGACUGAAGAAGUUAGACUCGCAGGAUUGGGAUCUAAAAACAGGAAGAUAAACGCCUCCAAGGAAGGAGUCCAAGGAGCCCGAAGUCUGCUUCUUCAAGUUCUUCUUUCCCAAUCCAGUUACUUCGAUUCUUUUCCCUGUUCCUAAGUGGACUGACAUGUUGCCACAUGUUGGCUUUUUGAUUCAUAGUGACACACGUUAAAAGUGAGGAUUUGUGUGUCACUCGUUUCACUUUCUGUAACCUGGUUAUUGCAGUGCUGUGGUUCCAGCCUCUCUCUUCCUGCAAGUUUUCCAAAUGAACACAUCCAUUAAUAUCCGAACCGCCUUUCACCAGGUUUCUUCCUC
rnacentral:lncRNA from 1 species